ACCCUCCAGAUUCCUUACCCCUCAGAUUGAAAUAUUGGUCUGUGAAGCUAAAAAAGGAGGAAAAGUAUAACUAGAGUGGACUUAGAGUCUUUUUUUCUUUAAGAUCAUUUUUGGGGGUCUGGUAUCAGGCAUAU
rnacentral:snoRNA from 1 species